rfam:Marivirga sericea strain DSM 4125 genome assembly, contig: LX91DRAFT_scaffold00016.16
GCGAGAGUAGCUCAGCUGGUAGAGCGCAACCUUGCCAAGGUUGAGGUCGCGAGUUCGAACCUCGUCUCCCGCU